rnacentral:lncRNA from 1 species
GUUAUAGCCCAGCAUCCAGCCUAGGGCCUGGCACAUGGCAGACCCUGCACCUGACGGAUCAGCUGGCACCACCCAGAUCAAUAAACUGCCUCAUCUGAUCUGGCGGCCCCCGCCCAGGAACUGACUGAGCGCAAGAAGACAGCUCCAACUCUAUAUGAUUUCAUCCCUGACCAAUCAGCAUUCCUGGCUCACUGGCUUCCCCCCACCCACCAAGUUAUCCUUAAAAACUCUGCUCCCUGAAUGCUUGGGGAGAUUGAUUUGAGUACUAAUAAAACUCCAGUCUCCCACACAGCUGGCUCUGCG